rnacentral:rRNA from 1 species
GGAUCCAGACUUUGAUCAUGGCUCAGGAUGAACGCUAGCUACAGGCUUAACACAUGCAAGUCGAGGGGCAGCAUGACGAUAGCUUGCUAUUGUUGAUGGCGACCGGCGCACGGGUGAGUAACGCGUAUCCAACCUGCCCUUGUCCAUCGGAUAACCCGUCGAAAGGCGGCCUAACACGAUAUGUAGUCCACAGAAGGCAUCUGACGCGGACGAAAUGUAAAGGAGAAGGAUGGGGAUGCGUCUGAUUAGCUUGUUGGCGGGGUAACGGCCCACCAAGGCGACGAUCAGUAGGGGUUCUGAGAGGAAGGUCCCCCACAUUGGAACUGAGACACGGUCCAAACUCCUACGGGAGGCAGCAGUGAGGAAUAUUGGUCAAUGGGCGAGAGCCUGAACCAGCCAAGUAGCGUGCAGGAUGACGGCCCUAUGGGUUGUAAACUGCUUUUAUGCGGGGAUAAAGUGAGCCACGUGUGGCUUAUUGCAGGUACCGCAUGAAUAAGGACCGGCUAAUUCCGUGCCAGCAGCCGCGGUAAUACGGAAGGUCCGGGCGUUAUCCGGAUUUAUUGGGUUUAAAGGGAGCGUAGGCCGUCUGAUAAGCGUGUUGUGAAAUGUCGGGGCUCAACCUGGGCAUUGCAGCGCGAACUGUCAGACUUGAGUGCGCGGGAAGUAGGCGGAAUUCGUCGUGUAGCGGUGAAAUGCUUAGAUAUGACGAAGAACUCCGAUUGCGAAGGCAGCCUGCUGUAGCGCAACUGACGCUGAAGCUCGAAAGCGUGGGUAUCGAACAGGAUUAGAUACCCUGGUAGUCCACGCGGUAAACGAUGGAUGCUCGCUGUUUGCGUCUGACGUAAGCGGCCAAGUGAAAGCGUUAAGCAUCCCACCUGGGGAGUACGCCGGCAACGGUGCAACUCAAAGGAAUUGACGG